rnacentral:rRNA from 1 species
GACGGAGGAUGCAAGCGUUAUCCGGAAUGAUUGGGCGUAAAGCGUCCGCAGGUGGCUGUUCAAGUCUGCUGUCAAAGACCGGGGCUUAACUUCGGAAAGGCAGUGGAAACUGAACAGCUAGAGUAUGGUAGGGGCAGAGGGAAUUCCUGGUGUAGCGGUGAAAUGCGUAGAUAUCAGGAAGAACAUCGGUGGCGAAGGCGCUCUGCUGGACCAUAACUGACACUCAGGGACGAAAGCUAGGGGAGCGAAUGGG